UUGGGAAAUUUUUUUAACAUUUUGGAUUUUGGUUUUUUUUUUUCACAAGCACACGAUGAGUUAUAGAUAUGAAAAUGAAACAGUUGUUGUCGUUGUUAUCUUGGGGUUACAGAAAUGAGCUCCCGUUUCAGUAUGCUUUAUUACUUUGAAAGAAACGUGGUUUGUGAGCUCCGUAUCUGCGUGUAUCUGCUGUAAUCCACGCUACUGCCAUUUCGAUUGUGCAAAUUUCAGGUGAAAUUUGAUCUUGAGAACAAGUGACAUUAUGUAAUUCAAAUUUCGUCAAACGAAUUUUUGGAGUGAAUCGUAAACCAUUUGUGAAACGAACAGCCAGCGAACAACUUCGUGUGUCAUGUGGUCGAUAGUUGUGUGAGUCAAGCAGUGUAGUGAAGUUGACAUACACUAUUGGAAUUGCCGAUCACUUCUACAUUAUCAACAAGAUCGAAUUUGUGAAUGUUUGAUGGCCACUUCCAGAAAGUCUUAAAACCCACAUCUGGGUGUAGAUGAGACCUUCAUCCAGUACGUACAUCCAUUGGAACACCGGAAGAUGAAUCUUGUGUGCUGAAAUCAGCUUAAAGAAAAAUACAUUGUCUGUGACUUGGAUUGGGAUUAAGUCAUUUGAUGUACGUACAAGAUCUACCAUUAUAUUGAAGUAAGUCACAACAGGAAAGGCUUCCAUUUCAUUCACCAAAGAAAACAUUUAGGAAGAGCUGAUGAAGCAUGAAUAGCAGAUUGACAACUCAUUGUCGUGUACUUUCGAACAACAGCAUUACAGCCAAUGAAACAUUUGACAUCAAAGCCAUCAGAAUCAUCAAUUAGGCAACGUCUAAUUUACAUGAAAAGAAAAGGAGAAGGGGUAACAAAAAAAGUAUUUAAAGCCGUCUGACCACCGUUUUACACAUGCUGAAUGUCGAUGGUGCUUAUUUGAAAGACGUGGAUAGUUUGUUCCUGAUCCUGUUUACAGAUGUGAUGCAGUUCCCGAUUGUGUACGAGUUCGUGAUCCAGACUUCAUGAGUGGCUUAUGUGUGCUUACACAUGGUCUUGUGUGGAAUCCUUGGGUGUUCCGUAGUUGCUGAAUCAGGAAAUUUAUGUGUGGCAGUUUUGUUAGCUGCUUCCAUGCUACAUCUUUAGGUGAUUUAUUUCUAUGAUGCACUCUUUCUACGGCUCUGCUGUGAAACUGGACGGGCAUGGGUUAAUGGCGCUUUCCAUUUACCUGCUUCCAUUUUUAAGGUUCCAUUCAGGGCAUGGCUCAGGUUUUUUAAACGGGUGGUUGCGUGGACAUUUCAUGGCAUCGAGCAGCCUUCAUGAAUUUGUCCCAAUAACUUUGUAUAUCAAAGCUUCUCGAAUUUCAGCCUGAUAGAAAUAAUGUAACACAAUAGUAAUUCAGCUUUAUUUAUGCAACCAAUCAAUUGUGAUGCUUACAUGUUGUUGAACCUUAAACUCCAGAGCCUCCAAUCGUUUGUCUCUGUUUUUCAGUUGCAAUAUUUUAUGCAGCACUUCUAACAGCUGUUGUUGUUGCUGUACUUUGGCCUCCAGUUCAAUAACUUUGGAUGUCAAAGCUUCUCGAACUUCAGCCUGAUGGGAAUAGUAAUGUAACACAUUACUAAUUCAGUUUUAUUUAUGUGAAAUGGAAAGAACAAACUUUCUUACAUGAUUGCCAGUUAAUUGUUGUUGCUGUUUGUUCGAGGUAAUCCAUUGGUUGAAAGCAAUUUAAAAGCACACAACAGGAAAACGAACGUGGAACACAAGUAACCAGCUAUUGCAUCGCCUAGGACGUUUACUGAUUUCUCCUCGACGGCUGCAUCACCGCUUUAUGACACAACUUCAACGUGUCAAACAUUUGCUGGUAAACUGUUGAUUUCUAGAUAACUUUGGCGGGUUCAAAAUUUAUCAGCACUUGGAUGCUAGUCAACACACUUGUGUCAAUAUAUCAGUACAGGACUAAUCAUGUACGUAGGACUGGAUUGGUUAAUACAGGUCUAAUUACGAGCAAGAAUGGGUCUUCAGGCUGUUAUCAACGCGUACCACCACAUCCUAGUCCACAUCUCGGCUUUGAUUUUGCCAUGAUUUAUUGAGUGUCACUGGGAGUUGCAUUCGGAUUCUGCAGUC